rnacentral:rRNA from 1 species
CAGCAGUGGGGAAUAUUGCACAAUGGGCGCAAGCCUGAUGCAGCGACGCCGCGUGCGGGAUGGAGGCCUUCGGGUUGUAAACCGCUUUUGUUCAAGGGCAAGGCACGGUUUUUGGCCGUGUUGAGUGGAUUGUUCGAAUAAGCACCGGCUAACUACGUGCCAGCAGCCGCGGUAAUACGUAGGGUGCAAGCGUUAUCCGGAUUUAUUGGGCGUAAAGGGCUCGUAGGCGGUUCGUCGCGUCCGGUGUGAAAGUCCAUCGCUUAACGGUGGAUCCGCGCCGGGUACGGGCGGGCUUGAGUGCGGUAGGGGAGACUGGAAUUCCCGGUGUAACGGUGGAAUGUGUAGAUAUCGGGAAGAACACCAAUGGCGAAGGCAGGUCUCUGGGCCGUUACUGACGCUGAGGAGCGAAAGCGUGGGGAGCGAACAGGAUUAGA